UUAUCCCGCGCGGGAGAGUCCGAGCACGUCUCGGCGCCGAAGGAGCAAAUCCUCCCCGGAACCUCUCAGGCGCAAGGACCGCGCGGGUGAG
rnacentral:ncRNA from 2 species